rnacentral:lncRNA from 1 species
UACGAUAUUCUAAUGAAUAACAAUUUAGAAGUGUUCUCCAAAGUUUAAGCUGAAUGAUCUCAAAUGAUCUUGAAAUUAUCUUCUCGAGUAACUAUCAAAGAUUUACUUUGAUAUACCCAAAUAUAGGAUGGAAAUAUCUUCCAGAGUUAUGCUGAGUGAUCACAAAAGGAUCUAGAACUUCUCUUCUCGAGUAACUAUCAAAAAUAUACUUUGAUAUAUCCAGGUGUAUUAGAUAACCAUAAAGAUUAAGUCAUACCCCUCUGCAAGUACUUAGAGCGGCCAACUCCUUGUACCCUAUAUUAUGCAUAAUACUUACACGCGCGCAAAGGCCGAAUAUACGACCAAAAAUGUUCCCU